rnacentral:lncRNA from 1 species
AGGUUUCGGGAUUAUCCCUUCAAGUCAUACGGAUCACGCAAUCGAGCUCUAGCACUACAAGAAACUUUAUGUUUCACGGCACAUGUUUAACAGCACAUAAGAAAAAGAAGAAGAAGAAUCAAAGAAAAAAAUUAAAUGAAGAAGAAGAAGAAGAACCAAAGGAGAAAAAGAAGAAAUGGAAGUAAAAGAGAAAGAAGAAGAAUCAAAGAAAAAAAAGAAGAAGAAUCAAAGAAGAAGAAGAAUCAAAGAAGAAGAAAUAUCGAAUAUAAGAAGAAGAAAAAAUGACUGGAAAACGA